rnacentral:rRNA from 1 species
UACGGAGGGUGCAAGCGUUAUCCGGAAUCACUGGGUUUAAAGGGUGCGUAGGCGGCCCGAUAAGUCAGAGGUGAAAGCUCACAGCUCAACUGUGGAAUUGCCUUUGAAACUGUCAGGCUUGAAUCAGGUCGAGGUUAGCGGAAUGUGACAUGUAGCGGUGAAAUGCAUAGAUAUGUCAUAGAACACCAAUUGCGAAGGCAGCUGGCUAGCCCUGAAUUGACGCUGAGGCACGAAAGCGUGGGGAGCGAACAGG